rnacentral:misc_RNA from 1 species
AAUGGGUUCCUUCAGGCAAGUAUAUAAUCUUCAGAUUAGGGACAAACUCUUUAAGCUUCUCACCCUCUAUGUAGUCUUUUAUCCCUGUAAAUUUGAAGACAUAAUCUUUGGCUCCCAUGAUAAGUAGCGCUGGUACUUCAAUUUUAGGUUCUGUUAUGCUUAACUCUUCAUCAAAUGACCUGUAUGGAACCUUCAAAGCAGUUUGAAAACCAGAUUUCUCAUAUAAUGCUCCAUAUGUUGCAAGAUCUUCCUCAGUGAACCAAGGAGGAAGGGGAGUAGAAGGUUCUACUAAAUCCAUGAUUUCCUGGUUUUCAGCAGCUAUUGGUAUUUCACUUCUGGAGAACAGAAUGUAGAUGUUCCUCACCACCGUUUUAGCAUCAAACCGACCAAAAUCAGCUUCUGCUCGCCCAGGUUCCUGCCAUCUAUGAAUAUAGAAGCCUUCAGGAAGAUUGCUACUGGAUUGACUGUAUCGACCUCGGGGUCUGAGCGGUACUCCUAUUGUUACAACUCCUAAGACCCUCUCAGGAUGGAGAAGAGGAAACAUGGAGACAAGCCUGCCUCCAAAAUCUUUGGCAACAAGAACAACCUUGGUGAUUUCGAGUGAAUCCAGAAUUCCGAGAAGGUCGCUGACUAUAUCCCUGUACGUGGUCUUCUCGGGCUCGGGUGGAGUUUCGGACAGUCCGUAUCCUCUGUAAUCGGUUGCGAUAGCCCGGAACCCUGCGCUGGCUAGAGCAAUCAUCUGGUGACGCCACGAGUACCAUAUCUCGGGGAAUCCAUGCAAGAACAAGACCACUUUAGUACCUGUUCCGAUCUCGGCCACAUGAAGGUUUAGCCCUUGUACUUUGAUGUACUUGUGCUGAAUUUGGUCCAUUUGAUGUUUCAGCGAAUCAAACCAUGAACUUACUUGUGUGUGUG